UAGGAGAGUACAAACCGAUCAACGAAACUGGGUCAACAGAGCUCCAAACUCAGGAUAAUAAAAACACUGACCCUAUGAGCACUGAUCAACAAGCAUCAACACUGAGAAAAACAGCUACUACAACUAUACCAACUAGUCCAGUUGAGGGCAAUGUUGCAGGACGUUUAUUGACGAUAACCAUGGGGUUGAUCAGCGCAGUUUCAUGUGUUAUCAUGAUUUACAAAGCCGCAUCAAUGUUUUACCAAGUUAUCAAUAUGGAAUUAUCACCUGCCGAUGUAA